rnacentral:rRNA from 1 species
CCUACGGGAGGCAGCAGUGAGGAAUAUUGGUCAAUGGGCGUGAGCCUGAACCAGCCAAGUCGCGUGAGGGAUGAAGGUUCUAUGGAUCGUAAACCUCUUUUGUCGGGGAGUAAACUGUGCCACGUGUGCUAUUUCGAAUGUACCUUAUGAAUAAGGAUCGGCUAACUCCGUGCCAGCAGCCGCGGUAAUACGGAGGAUGCGAGCGUUAUCCGGAUUUAUUGGGUUUAAAGGGUGCGUAGGCGGCCUUUUAAGUCAGCGGUUAAAGUUGGUGGCUCAACCAUAUACUUGCCGUUGAAACUGGGGGGCUUGAGUAUGUUAGAGGUAGGCGGAAUGCGUGGUGUAGCGGUGAAAUGCUUAGAUAUCACGCAGAACCCCGAUUGCGAAGGCAGCAUGCCAAGGCAUGACUGACGCUCAUGCACGAAAGUGUGGGUAUCGAACAGGAUUAGAUACCCCUGUAGUC